AAAUGGAGGGCUCAGUGGUAGAGUGCCUGCCUAGCAUGCAGGAAGCCCUGGGUUCCAUUUC
rnacentral:tRNA from 1 species